UUGUCCAAAAAUAAUACAGCCUAUCGAAAAAAGAAAAAAAAUAUACAGCCUCAUAUUUCUCUCUCCCCGAUAUAUCUCCCUCUUUACUUUCGUUUUCUCUCUCCUCUGUCGCCACCGUCGCCGUCGCCGUCGCUUCCUCACCGCCGGAGAUCAUCGUCGAACAUUUGUGUCGCUGUGUAGUUGUUCAUUUUUGGUGUGGGGUUAAUAGUUGCAGUAGCUCCACUCUCCAUCUCACUUGUCUCUGCGGUCUCUCUCAUCUCUAGUCCGUACCUUUGCCGUCAACGGUGGUCGUGAAUCCACCAUCAACUUUACUCCAUUAUCAAGUGGUGAGGUCUUGAACCCAUUCCAUAAAUCAAUUAAUUGAAUUGAGUAAUUAAAAUUACCAAUUGAGAAAACCCUAACUUACUAAACGAUGCAUAUAUUGUUUCAAUGACUAGAUUAAGAUAUAUUGAUUAUGUAAUGCUAAUGUUGCCUGGCUUAUUCCUCUUUCUCUCUAUGAUUCAAUGUUUUAGUGUAAUUUCGAUUUAAAGUUCGAAUCAUAUGGUUGAAUCCAUCUUCAGUUGAUUGGUUAGUUUUUACAAAAUAAUUUUCUGAAUUUGAUUUCAUGGUUUAAAGGUCAUAGAUUGACCUUUCCAGUUGAUCAUUUUCCCAUUUUCUUUGAUUUUUUUUGGCCUGAAUUAUUUGUUUUCAUGUUUUUUGUAUCGAUUUUAUUUCUAAUUUAUGUUUUUCUUAAAUAUCAAUUUAAUUUCAAUUAUUGAUUUCGGAAUUUCUAUUGUUUAACUCUUGUUUAUCAUAUCUAUUUCUCUGAUUUUGAUUAGAAUUUAUAUCUGAUCUAUGUUCACGUGCCUAAGGAGUCACAUCAUUAUAAAUGGGAAGUUCUCAGGCGGUUUUUACAUCAAUUUAUUGUAGAUAAUUCAUGAGGUUCUACAAGUCUUAGGAAUUUAGAUGUUGAUUAGCUUGAAUAACUCAUUUGUGGAGUGAGCGCAAGGAACGAUAGAUUGCGUAGUUAGUAUGCUGGGUGUAGGGGUUGGUCUCGUAUCUGUACAAGACUAUUAGUCGGCCUAGGCUUGCAGCAGUGUGUGUGUGAGGCUGUAGGGGUUUGGUUCAUUGGGUCAAAUCCAUGGAAACAUACUAGUUCAAAGGCAAGAAAUGGGCAAGCAUAAGAUGAGAUGUCAGUCAUUUUUUUGUUUUGGCACCGUGAAAAACUUUAAGCUUGAUCACAAUCAAUAUUUCUUCUUGAUAUCCAUUUAAGUCCGACUGUUAUAAUUUCUGUGGAAGCGUCAUUUUUAUUAUUUUCUUCGAGUAGAUUACAUCAGCUGAUCAUGUUUUGAAGCGACAUCAUCUUUCAUUUUUGUCUGAUGCUCUCAUAUAAUCUCGUGUCAUUAUUCCAUCAUGUUUCAUUUUUUUUCUAUGAUCUAAAUCAUACAUCCCUGGUGGCACAAAGCAAUCAACUAAUAUCGAAACAUGAAGAUUUCGAUCGUCAUAUAUUUGAGUCUUAGACUCUCACCAAAUUGUGAUAUCGAGGUGGAUACAAAGUAAUCUUGAUACCUUUGGGAGAUUGAGCUUUGGGAGAAAGGUUUUUGAUGUUUACUAUAAUGCUUUGUUAAACUCGAUGGAUGGAUUUAAAAUGGUCUUGUCUUUAUGCAACAUUUGUCAGCUUAAUGGUGGUGGUGAGAUAGAUAAUUAACUUUUACAUGUACCAGAUUUUAUGAUGUUCCAAAAUUUGGAAUCUAAUGUUUACAGUAUGCCUACUGUCAUAAGCAGAACCGAGGUUCCGUAUUUAAAAGUUCACAACUAUCUACUUUCGGACUCUUGUGUUGUUUUUAUGUUGUCUAGCAAAGUUUGAAGUCUUUCUUAUGUGUACCAUAUAAAAGCCAAGUCUCCAAGCGUUGCAUUUGUUUUUCUCACAAUUCGGUUGAGCUUGUGUUCUUUCCAUCAAGCCGGGUAUUUCCUCAAUGUACAAGUAAUGUUCCCUUCUUUUGUUACAGCAAAUAGUCUGCUUGCUUGAGCUUGAGACAGUUCAUUCAGUCAAGCUGGGUUGAGCACUUGAGCUAGAGCUCUCUGUAUGAAUUCCUUUUAAAUGUGAACUAUUGACCUCACUUAUAAAUAUGUCGAAAUUGAGUUUGAAAAAACUAUGGCAGUCUUUUGUAUUGACUAACUAUUUACUUAUAGUAAGAUGAUUCCUAAUUCUUUUUUUUGUUAUUGUCGUAGAUGCUAGAGGCUGCAUUUAAGAAAGAAAUUGCAGGUCUUGUUACAAGGGAUGAAUAUGUUGAGAAGGUCAAAAAUUAAGAAGAAAAUUAUGGAGGACGUGAAAAAGGAACUGCAAAAGCUACUGGAAGAGAAGAAUUAAGGCAAUCUCUAAAGAUCGUGUCAGACCAUCUCCAAGUCAUGAAAGAUGGAAACUGAAUGAGAUUUUUAUUACUAGUUGUGUCAUCGGGACAUAUCUCGCCUUAGUCACUGUUAUUUAACUGGGUCGUAAAUGACAUAUAUUUCUCCAAGGAGAAUUUGGUGUGAGCUCUCUAUCUGGAAACACAGAAAAUUUCAUCUGCAAUAUAUCUGCAAGUUAGCAUCGUUAGCCAGUCCCUCAUCUUAUUACUCGCACUCAUAGCUGGUCAUUUCUGGAGAGACCAGGAGUUCUUCUCAUGUCUGCAUUCGUGGUGACGCAAUCGGUAUUCAACAAUUCGAGGGAGCAGCCCUUCACCACCGAGGAGAUAAAUGAAGUUCGAGAAAAGUUUGAUUGUCUUUGAUAUUUUCUUGUAGCGAGUCUUUAGAUUAUGGAUGCUAGUUUUUCUUAUGAUUGAAAUCAUGAAAUGUAAUCGAUUUUUAUAUUUAUAUUUAUAUAUUAUUCAAUUUAAUAUUUAUAUAAUUGGAUACUUUUUUAUGUGA